AUUCAUAUUUGUGGCAAUUUAUGGAAAAUUUUACAAAAAAAAAAGUGUUUUAAGAAAACAUUAUAAAUUUUUAACAAUUUAAUUGAAGUGACAAAAUUCAAAAAGAAACAAAAUCUAAAUAACAAACCCUUAAGUUGUUGAGAGUUUUUCCCCUCUUCCAACUCUACAACUACACAAACACACACAAAAUAUUUUAAAAUUCAAAUGUUUUGAAAGAAAAUUAUAAUUUUCAAUUAAAAAAUGAAAUCAAUGACGUGGACAAAAACAAGUAGCAGCAGUGAAAAUCACAACAUUCUAAUGCAAUUUUACUGUCAACGUCAAAGACAAGGCAACAAUGCUAAAAAAACAUGGCGAAAGAAGUUAAAUUAUCAGAUCUAUCCAUGCAUCCAUCCAUAUAUCCAGCCAGGCAUACAUUUUACCAGCCAAAUUUCAAUUGUUUCGCGUGUGUGUGUAUUAGUAUAGAGAAGAAGAAAAAAAAAGAAAACACUAAAGUUUUAUGAGCGAAUGUUUUGGGGCAAUAUAGGUUACGCAUAUAAGUGAAUGAUGAUGGUGCACAACUCAUACCCGGGAUGCAUUUAAUGUCAAAGUACAAAUGGCAGCAACAACAACAUCAGCAUCAAUAAAUGUAGAAAAUGACUUUGACAUGCGCAACUGCACUUGAACCUGAAAUUUUAAUUUCGCCAAUGGCUGGGUGGGUGACCGUUUAUACACACACACACGCACACACUUAACCAAUAACAAUAACGGCCCACCACUAUAUUGAAAGUGAAAUUUGUUGGAAAUAGAAAGUGCAAGUGUAUUAACAACAACAGGAAUGUUACAAUUUGGUUUGGCAGCUUUGUUUUGGAAAUUUAAGUUACACACACAGAAGAAGCAACAAAAUCAA